AAGACGGAUUACUAGACAGCUCUGAAAGACAACGAGCAGAAAAGGUCAGCGGGUCACGCUGCUGCACAGCUACCCCUGAACCUGAAUAACAGAGGAGCUCAUAUGCAAGAACCAGAAAAAAAUGGCGGUUCGGAGCUGCUGCUGAAAAAGUAUUUUUCUCUGUUUGCUGAGUGACGGCUGGGACGGUUUUCCCCCAGGUUCUGUUCAGUAAAGGUACAGAUGAAA